rnacentral:rRNA from 1 species
AAGUAUAUGCGUUUUCGGAACGCAGAAACUGCGAACGGCUCAUUAGAACAGUCAUGAUCUACUUGACAUUCCGCCUUUUUUUGGGGUAUAUUAGGAUACCUGCGGAAAAGCUGCAGCUACUACUUGACCGAUGCGUCCUUUCUAGGCGAAUGCUUGGAGGUCGGGUGCGGUAUUUGUUAGCGCUGCAAGAAAAAGGAGAAGAUGGGAGUGCGAACAAAGAAGCGACACGUAUACUCAGAAGGAGUCCCCUUUUUGGUAUGAAGUGCGUAUCAAUCGAGUUUCUGACCUAUCAGCUUUGGAUGUUAGGGUAUUGGCCUAGCAUGGCGAUGACGGGUAACGGGGAAUUGGAGUUCGAUUCCGGAGAGGGAGCCUGAGAAAUCGCUACCACAUCUAAGGAAGGCAGCAGGCGCGUAAAUUACCCAAUUCUGACGAAGAGAGGUAGUGACAAGAAAUAACAAGGUACGGUCUUUCAGACUGUACGAUUGCAAUGGUGGGAACCUACACCCUUCCCAGAGAAGCCAUUGGAGGGCAAGUCUGGUGCCAGCAGCCGCGGUAAUUCCAGCUCCAAUAGCGUAUAUUAACAUUGUUGCAGUUAAAACGCUCGUAGUUGACUUUCAGGGGUGUGUAGUCCCGCGGGACCCGCUCUUCGCUCCAAUUCGUUGAAGUCGAAGGGUAGGGCGCCUGCACGCGAUCCAUCCCUUUAGGGUACGUUCGUGGGAGAGUUCCUUGGUUGGGGCUUGACGCGACGUCCCUGGUACUUUGAGGAAAUUAGAGUGUUCAAGGCAGGCGACUGCUAGGGGCAACCCGCUUGAAUACGAUAGCAUGGAAUAACGCCAUUGAAGAGGCCCUUUGGGGUUUGUCCAUUUUUCUUGGGAGGGCCUCGAGGUCCGGCCCGUGUUCCUCGUUUCGAGGGAGGCGUGUGCGCGGAGUACGAUUAAUAGGAGUAGCUUGGGGGCCUUCGUAUUCCGAUGUUAGAGGUGAAAUUCUUAGAUUUUCGGGAGACGAACUACUGCGAACGCAUUGGCCUAACAUACUUCCAUUAAUCAAGAACGAAAGUUAAGGGAUUGAAGACGAUCAGAUACCGUCGUAAUCUUAACCAUAAACUAUGCCGACUGGGCGUCGGGCGGGUCUUUUUUAAGGCGUCCCGUUCUGGCCCCCGUUCUUCUUCCUCGUGGGGAGGGGCGGGGUUGCUGGAAGAGGGCGCCGUACGAACUCCCUCGGUACCCUGCGAGAAAUCAAAGUCUUUGGGUUCUGGGGCGAGUAUUCGCGCAAGCGAGAAAGUUAAAAGAAUUGACGGAAGGGCACCACCAGGCGUGGAGCUUGCGGCUUAAUUUGACUCAACACGGGGAACCUCACUAGUGCCGGACAAGAGUAGGAUUGACACAUCUUCGGAAUUCGUUCCAUCGAUUGAAGCUCUUUCUUGAUUUCUUGGGGGGUGAUGCAUGGCCGUUUUUAGUUCGUGAAAUGAUUUGUCUGGUUAAUUCCGAUAACGAACGAGAUCUCACCCUGCUCAUUAGCAGUGGGUGCACGAUGCUUCGUUCGGAGGCGUUCGUCCUCGAGACGGGGAGCCGUCCCUUCGCUCCCUCUCGUCGCGUAGGUCCCUAGUGCGGCAUCUCCCAUAGCACCCUCUGAGGCGUGCAUGGGUGUGCGGCUGGGGGAGUGCCUUGCGCACGGUGGGGUGGUGUGAUGGGAGUCGGUCCGUUUCGGUAGGGGCGGGCGUGUCCGUCGGGGCGCAUCCAUGAUAUGCUUCUUAGAGGGACUGGGGGUAUAGAAUCCCAGGAAGUGUGAGGCCACAACAGGUCUGUGAUGUCCUUAGAUGUGCUAGGCUGCACGCGUGCUACACUGAUGCGUGUAACGAGCGACCGGGCCGCCCAUAAGCGCAGCCUUCUUUGGCUGCUUUUGUAGUGGAAGGGGGUUGCGCGUUGGUGGGGAGGCCUGCCUGCUCCGAGAGGAGUGGGGAAUCUGGAAUACGCAUCGUGAUGGGGAUCGACGAUUGCAAUUUUUCGUCUUGAACGAGGAAUGCCUAGUAAGCAUGAUUCAUCAGAUUGUGCUGACUACGUCCCUGCCCUUUGUACACACCGCCCGUCGCUCCUACCGAUUGAAAGAUAUGAUGAAUUGUUUGGACUGUUGUGCUGUAAGGGGCUUGCCUCUGAGCGCGAUGGGAAGAACCGUAAAUCCUAUCUUUUAAAGGAAG